UUUCGUCCGGUACACAGUUAAAACAGGGGGCUGGUCCGAGGUUUCCGAACCUUGGAAGAGAACUUGAAACAAUAAGGAGCCCCUCCCUUUCUCUGCAACGUCUCUCGUGUUUGAUCCGCAAAGAGAACGAAAAUGACUACUUCAAGACGCCUUUCAGACAGGAAAAUUGCAAGGUUUGAUAAGAAUAUCACCAAGAGAGGAUCAGUUCCUGAAACCACCAAGAAAGGAAACGACUAUCCAGUUGGGCCUAUUGUUCUUGGGCUCUUUGUUUUUGUGGUCAUCGGAUCAUUUCUGUUUCAGAUUAUCAGGACAGCCACCGGUGGUGGGGCGUUGGCCUGAGGAAAUGGGGUAGGAAGUUUUGUUGAGAAUGUGAUUCUGUGGUUGGAUACCACCAUGAGUAACAAAUAAUUAGUGUCGGAAUGUGAAGUUAAAAACAUAUUUACUUGCUCAAUAAAAUAAAAUGGUGUUAUGCGCUUGAUCUAGGUUUUCUGCUAGCACAUAUUUCCCUUAUAGAGUAGUUCUUUGCUGGAGUGGUACUCCAUUUAGGAAUUUUACAAAUCUGCACAUCCACCUCUGUUGUACACUGUACAAUAAUAGACUGUAUCGAUAGCGGCUGAAAGCAACAGUUUCUAAGAAGUUGUAUAGAGGAUUCUCUGGUCCAAAAGA